GCCCGGCUAGCUCAGUCGGUAGAGCAUGGGACUCUUAAUCUCAGGGUCGUGGGUUCGUGCCCCACGUUGGUGGGAAGCA